rnacentral:rRNA from 1 species
ACGGUUCUCAUGCUGGAGUGCAGAGAACCUCAAACGCUACGGCGCUACAGGAUGUGGCUGCGGCCGAUUAGGUAGACGGUGGGGUAACGGCCCACCGUGCCGAUAAUCGGUACGGGUUGUGAGAGCAAGAGCCCGGAGACGGAAUCUGAGACAAGAUUCCGGGCCCUACGGGGCGCAGCGGGCGCGAAACCUUUACACUGCACGCCAGUGCGAUAAGGGGACCCCAAGUGUGAGGGCAUAUAGCCCUCACUUUUGUGUACCGUAGGGAGGUACACGAAUAAGAGCUGGGCAAGACCGGUGCCAGCCGCCGCGGUAAUACCGGCAGCUCGAGUGAUGACCGAUUUUAUUGGGCCUAAAGCGUCCGUAGCUGGCCGCGUAGGUUCGUCGGGAAAUCCACCUGCUCAACAGGUGGGCGUCCGGCGAAAACCACGUGGCUUGGGACCGGAAGGCUCGAGGGGUACGUCCGGGGUAGGAGUGAAAUCCCGUAAUCCUGGACGGACCGCCGAUGGCGAAAGCACCUCGAGAAGACGGAUCCGACAGUGAGGGACGAAAGCUGGGGUCUCGAACCGGAUUAGAUACCCGGGUAGUCCCAGCCGUAAACAAUGCCUGUUAGGUGUGGCACCGACUACGAGUCGGUGCUGUGCCGUAGGGAAGCCGAUAAACAGGCCGC